UACGGGAGGCAGCAGUGGGGAAUAUUGCACAAUGGGCGCAAGCCUGAUGCAGCCAUGCCGCGUGUAUGAAGAAGGCCUUCGGGUUGUAAAGUACUUUCAGUCGUGAGGAAGGUGUUAAGGUUAAUAACCUUAGCAAUUGACGUUAGCGACAGAAGAAGCACCGGCUAACUCCGUGCCAGCAGCCGCGGUAAUACGGAGGGUGCGAGCGUUAAUCGGAAUUACUGGGCGUAAAGGGCACGCAGGCGGUUAAUUAAGUUGGAUGUGAAAUCCCCGGGCUUAACCUGGGAAUGGCAUUCAAGACUGGUUAGCUAGAGUCUUGUAGAGGGGGUUAGAAUUCCAUGUGUAGCGGUGAAAUGCGUAGAGAUGUGGAGGAAUACCGGUGGCGAAGGCGGCCCCUGGACAAGACUGACGCUCAUGUGCGAAAGCGUGGGGAGCGAAACAGGGAUUAGAUACC
rnacentral:rRNA from 1 species